rnacentral:rRNA from 1 species
AGGACAAACGCUGGCGGCGUGUAUUAGGCAUGCAAGUCGCACGAGCCUUCGGGCUAGUGGCGGACGGGUGAGUAACACGUGGAUAACCUGCCUCGUAGUGGGGAAUAACUCGUCGAAAGACGAGCUAAUACCGCAUAAGAUCAUCGGUGUGACUCCGAAUGAUGAAAGCUCCGGCGCUAUGAGAGGGGUCCGCGGCCGAUUAGCUAGUUGGUGGGGUAAUGGCUCACCAAGGCGACGAUCGGUAGCUGGUCUGAGAGGAUGGUCAGCCACACGGGGACUGAGAUACGGCCCCGACUCCUACGGGAGGCAGCAGCUAAGAAUCUUGCGCAAUGGGCGAAAGCCUGACGCAGCAACGCCGCGUGGGGACGAAGGCCUUCGGGUCGUAAACCCUUUACGAGGAAGAAGUUCGUGACGGUACCUCGUGAAUAAGCCACGGCUAACGUACGUCGCCAGCACGCCGC